rnacentral:rRNA from 1 species
UACGUAGGGGCCGAGCGUUGUCCGGAUUCAUUGGGCGUAAAGAGCUCGUAGGCGGCUGCUCAAGUCGAAUGUGAAAACUCGAGGCUCAACCUCGAGCCUGCAUUCGAUACUGGGCGGCUAGAGUCUGGUAGGGGGAUCUGGAAUUCCUGGUGUAGCGGUGGAAUGCGCAGAUAUCAGGAGGAACACCGGUGGCGAAGGCGGCCACCUGGACGGUAACUGACGCUGAGGCACGAAAGCGUGGGGAGCAAACAGG